rnacentral:sRNA from 10 species
UAAUAGCCCUGAUGGGAAUGGCAUCCUCCCAACUUGAUUGGGAGAUAGAAUGGACAGCAGGAAAAAGG